GCGUACUUCUCUACGUGACCAUAUGACAGCACACAGCUAUGGAAUGUAAAGAAGUACGUAU
rnacentral:pre_miRNA from 1 species